rnacentral:rRNA from 1 species
UGAAUAUGGGGGGACCAUCCUCCAAGGCUAAAUACUCCUGACUGACCGAUAGUGAACCAGUACCGUGAGGGAAAGGCGAAAAGAACCCCGGCGAGGGGAGUGAAAAAGAACCUGAAACCGUGUACGUACAAGCAGUGGGAGCCUCUUUUAUGGGGUGACUGCGUACCUUUUGUAUAAUGGGUCAGCGACUUAUAUUCUGUAGCAAGGUUAACCGAAUAGGGGAGCCGAAGGGAAACCGAGUCUUAACUGGGCGUUAAGUUGCAGGGUAUAGACCCGAAACCCGGUGAUCUAGCCAUGGGCAGGUUGAAGGUUGGGUAACACUAACUGGAGGACCGAACCGACUAAUGUUGAAAAAUUAGCGGAUGACUUGUGGCUGGGGGUGAAAGGCCAAUCAAACCGGGAGAUAGCUGGUUCUCCCCGAAAGCUAUUUAGGUAGCGCCUCGUGAAUUCAUCUCCGGGGGUAGAGCACUGUUUCGGCAAGGGGGUCAUCCCGACUUACCAACCCGAUGCAAACUGCGAAUACCGGAGAAUGUUAUCACGGGAGACACACGGCGGGUGCUAACGUCCGUCGUGAAGAGGGAAACAACCCAGACCGCCAGCUAAGGUCCCAAAGUCAUGGUUAAGUGGGAAACGAUGUGGGAAGGCCCAGACAGCCAGGAUGUUGGCUUAGAAGCAGCCAUCAUUUAAAGAAAGCGUAAUAGCUCACUGGUCGAGUCGGCCUGCGCGGAAGAUGUAACGGGGCUAAACCAUGCACCGAAGCUGCGGCAGCGACGCUUAUGCGUUGUUGGGUAGGGGAGCGUUCUGUAAGCCUGUGAAGGUGUACUGUGAGG